AUGGUUGUGGAAGACAGAUGAAUUUGUAUUGGAUGCAAUGGAGAAUUUGGCAGUUCUACCAACUGCCAAUGCUGCUGGGCAAACUGUUCUUUUCUUAGUCGAAAAAGAAAUAGGCAAAAAGGGAAGAAAGUGAGUAAAGAGAACAGAAGAAGAAAUGAGCCUUCUCUCUUUGUCCAAUUUUAUUUACUUCAGCUAGAUCCAUUAUCAUCACAAUUCACAGCUCUUCCAUCGUUAGGUUUUAAUUUUUAGGGAGAUGGAGGGACAGCAGGGUGGAGAAACAUUUCUUAGUUGACUUAAUUUACUAUCUUGCCUCGCCUUCUUUUUUCCUCCCAAAGUUCAAUCCUUUCUUCUUUAAACAGUACGUCAGUGUUUAUUUGCGUGAUGUUUGUAUCUAAGACUUUUGGCUAAGGAACAUGGGUUUUGAAAUCCUUGCCUCACUCUAUGUUUGUAUUUUUCGUUUAUUUAUUUAUUUUUGAGGUGGGGUGGUUGGUUUAAUAUAGUUUGAUAACAGUGAAUAAAAUUGAGAAACAAUUUGAAUCCUUUCUAUGCAUGUAAAAUGCAUUUUCUUGUCUCUCCAAAAGUCUGCUCCUUCUGAAGUAAAAUAAAGUAUCUGUUUUUAUUUUUUUUAAUUUUACUUUUGUUUGUUUCAUUAAGUUG
rnacentral:misc_RNA from 1 species